AAACGUGUGGUUUUAGUUAUAUAAAACAAACAAAGGCCGUUUUGGUUGAAUAAAAUCACCAAAAAAGACAGGAAGAAUUUAAUAUAAAUACAGUAAAUACUUUUAUUCGUGUACCAUAUUGUGGAUUGUAAACAUUGAGUACAGUCACACACGCGAAACCGUUAGUUGGCCGUUACCAAUUGACAGUUUUUGUUUUUGAAAAGCAAGUUUACAAUGAAACGACAAACAGUAUUUGUCUGUUUGUUAUGCUGUGUUUUUCUUCAUAUAUCACUUGGCAUGAAAAGCAGUAAUGAAAAACCUCAGUUCGACAAAGCCAAACUUUUGAGAAAGUUUAAGAGGUAUAACAACAAGCUUUUACUUCAUGUUGGCAACAAUUAAAUUGGAUUUUUUUAGUUUGCCUUUUUGUUUACAAAUCUCUGAACGUUUGUGUAUUAAUAAACAAAUCAGUUGCACUGUGAUUUUAACUCUGAUUGUUGACAAUAGAC